GUAAACGAGAACAUUUAGGAAUUACUGUACAAUCAUAUCGGGUAAACCAAAAGGUUUAAUUGGAAUUAGUCGGUAAAGAACAAAUGUUCCAGCUCCUGAAUAACCUUCAGUAAGCUCAACUAAAUCCAGUAUAUUUACAUCUUCUGCGAUUGGCAUUUUUUUGAGCUUUAUUUCAAAGAUUUCUUGUCUCGUCUGACAAUCUGGUAAUUUAACGUAAAUUAUUCUAUCUAAACGACCAGGACGAAGAAGAGCCUGAUAAAAUGAAUGAUGCAUUAGUUAAAAAUAUUUGAAUGAAAUAUAGAUUGCAUAUCAAAUACAAACUUUGUCUAUUUUAUCAGGACGAUUCGUGGCUGCUACUAAUGUAACAUUUCCUAAAGCAGUGAUGCCAUCUAAUUCUGUAAGUAGUUGAGCUAAGACCCGUUGUUCAACGUUACUUCCAUUACUACCCGAUGAAGAUCCUCUUUCUCCCCCAAGGGCAUCGAUUUCAUCUAUAAAAAUGAUAGAGGGUGCAACCUGUCGAGCCUUAUGAAAAACAUCACGUACAGCUUUCUCGGAUUCACCAACCCACUUUGAGAAUAGUUCUGGACCCUAUAAAUAGUAGCAAUUGUAUUUAAUAUGUCAUAAUAAAAGAAAAUAUUUAUU